UCCCUGGUGGUCUAGUGGUUAAGACCCCGCACUUCCCAUGCAGGAUCUGGGGUUCAAUUCCCAGUCAGGAAA
rnacentral:tRNA from 1 species